UCUGCGGAGGAGAGUGGUAGCAGUUAGCUUGGUGAUCACGUGGCCUGGAGCCUCCGCAAACAAGCCAACCUCCUGGCUGCUGGCCUGCCCACCUCAGCCCCAACCUGUCUCCCUCCUGCACUGUCACUCCCGGAGGCGCUAGCAGAUGGCCUCUAAGCACAGCGUCUGGAGCUGGACCGCUGCCGAGGGGGACACAGGCAGAGGACGGAUAGGCAGACCGUAAGUGAGAUGCCUGCGCAGCCCGAAUGCCUGGGGCUUCCAGGCUGUACUAGCACCUGAAAGACUGCCUGUGAUUCCACCAGAGGGCGAGUGGUCUCUCCUGCUCCCAGCCUGCUGGCUCCCUCCCAGACCCACUGUGAGGCUGCCCAUCUACCCUGUUCCAUCUCUUCCUGUCAGGAAGGGCAGAGGAAGAGGAUGGGAUCUUGGCUCACCAUGCUCACGUGUUUCUUCGUGAUGUCAGGUGGCCCCCGAAAGACGAAGCUCCUCCACCUGCCAGCUCCCCCAGAUGAAAACAAAAUGGCAACUGGAGUUACGGAGAGGAAGAGGGCACCUACAUGUGCUUGCUCGUCAGAGAUUACCAAAAACAUAAGCAAGAGUGGUCGCCUCCAGCAGACUGGCAGGCAGGGCCGGAGGGAGGCCUUCACUGUACACCAGUUCAAAAACUGCCAAUUAAAAAAUUGUAGAUAAAAACA